rnacentral:rRNA from 1 species
ACGGAAGGCAGCAGCUAAGAAUAUUCCGCAAUGGACGAAAGUCUGACGGAGCGACGCCGCGUGGAUGAUGAAGGCCGGAAGGUUGUAAAAUCCUUUUAUAACUGAGGAAUAAGUAUUAUCAGAGAAAGGUAGUAUGGUGACUGUAGGUUAUGAAUAAGCAACGGCUAAUUACGUGCCAGCAGCCGCGGUAACACGUAAGUUGCGAGCGUUGUUCGGAAUUAUUGGGCGUAAAGGGCAUGUAGGCGGUUUUGCAAGCUUGGUGUGAAAUCCCGGAGCUCAACUCCGGAAUUGCGUUGAGAACUGCAUGACUAGAGUCACUGAGGGGCAAUCAGAAUUCCUGGUGUAGGGGUGAAAUCUGUAGAUAUCAGGAAGAAUACCAAUGGCGAAGGCAGGUUACCAGCAGAUGACUGACGCUGAGGUGCGAAGGUGCGGGGAGCAAACAGGAUUAGAUACCCUGGUA